rnacentral:rRNA from 1 species
GACGAACGCUGGCGGCGUGCUUAACACAUGCAAGUCGAACGGAAAGGCCCUGCUUUUGUGGCGUGCUCGUGUGGCGAACGGGUGAGUAUCACGUGAGUAACCUGCCCUUGACUUUGUGAUAACUUCAGGAAACUGGGGCUAAUACCGGAUAUGAUCUCCUGCUGCAUGGGGUGGGAUGGAAAGUUUCGGCGGUUGGGGCUGGACUCGCUGCUUAUCCGCUUGUUGGUGGGGUAGUGGCUUACCAAGGCUUUGACGGGUAGCCGGCCUGAGAGGGUGACCGGCCACAUUGGGACUGAGGUACGGCCCAGAAUGCUAUGGGAGGCAGCAGUGGGGAACAUUGCGCAAUGGGCGGAAGUCAGAUGCAGCAACGCCGCGUGCGGGAUGACGGGCUUCGGGUUGUAAACAGAUUUGGAAGGUGACGAAGCGUGAGUGACGGUACUGGGUAAAGAAGCACCGGCUAACUACGUG